rnacentral:ncRNA from 1 species
AAUUAUUCGUCACGGAUGGACGUUAACAGCACUGGUGCGGGUGAAGAUAUCGCCGCCUGGUUUCCAAUUUCCAGUAAAGAAUUGGUGGCGCGGCAUGUA